UUGCAAAGAAAAAUGACCAAAAAUAAUAUGCUCAUUUUUCAAGCUUCAGCAGAAGAAACACUUCCUAUAAAUCUCGCCCAAACAGGAAAGGAGAAGCAUCAGGGUGUCCGACUACGUGGGUUUCAUAGCUGUGGAAAAGCCAAAGGGGAGACUCCUGAAGAAAGGCGGUGAAGACUGUGAAGAGCGGGUCAGGAAGAUGAGCACAGCACUGCUACUCCUGUGGGCACAGGGACAGCAUGUCUCCAGCCAGCGCCACCUUGUUUAAUACAUGGGAACUCACUGAAAUUCAUUCUGUAUUUUGCCCACAAAGUUUUAAAGCUUUCAUCCACAGUCAGGAAUUAAACUUAUACCAAUGAGAGCCUCACACAUUCAAGGAUGUACUAAGCACUACAGGCCUCACAGAAACAGAGAUCCCAUCUUGGAGUUUUCAGUCCCACAUGGGAGAUAAAGGGUUUUGAACAUGAAAUGACAAAAACAACAGCAAGAAGAAAAUUCUCGUCCUUUUUCAUUACUAUCAAACUCAAAUAAAUGUCUUGGCUCUUACAUUACAUUCAUUCUUCAACCAUUGUGGUCUGGCUUCCACUUCCUUCACUUCACCAACAUGGCUCUGCCAAAGGAAGCCUGUGAUCUCUAGGCCAUCACUUUAAUUGAUCUCUCUACAACAUUUAUCCUGGUCGUUAAGCCCUCCUUACAACAUUCUUCUCUCUUUGUUUUUAUGGCUCUGUCUCUCCUGCUUCUUUAACCUGAUAAUGCAUACUUGAUUUUUCCAUUUAUUAUUUCAUCAACCAAUUAAUACACAGAUAAAACAAGACUGUGUAUAUCAAACCAUGUUUGUAUAGAAAAAAUGGAUUUUGGAUGCCUCUCAUAUGUAAUUAGUUCUAUUAAACAUAUUAAUUGUAUUGUUUAAUUUAUC
rnacentral:lncRNA from 1 species